CAGUCGCCGCGGUAAUACGGAGGGUGCAAGCGUUAUCCGGAUUUAUUGGGUUUAAAGGGUCCGUAGGCGGAUCUGUAAGUCAGUGGUGAAAUCUCACAGCUUAACUGUGAAACUGCCAUUGAUACUGCAGGUCUUGAGUAAAUUUGAAGUGGCUGGAAUAAGUAGUGUAGCGGUGAAAUGCAUAGAUAUUACUUAGAACACCAAUUGCGAAGGCAGGUCACUAAGAUUUAACUGACGCUGAUGGACGAAAGCGUGGGGAGCGAACAGGAUUAGAGACCCCAGUAGUCCCUGUCUCUUAUAC
rnacentral:rRNA from 1 species